CGGUAGCGGCCUAAACUGGCAAGUCCGAAGCGGAUGACGGGAAGCUUUGCUCCUUGAUUCAGCGGCGGACGGGUGAGUAAUGCCUAGGAAUCUGCCUGGUAGUGGGGGACAACGUUUCGAAAGGAACGCUAAUACCGCAUACGUCCUACGGGAGAAAGCAGGGGACCUUCGGGCCUUGCGCUAUCAGAUGAGCCUAGGUCGGAUUAGCUAGUUGGUGAGGUAAUGGCUCACCAAGGCGACGAUCCGUAACUGGUCUGAGAGGAUGAUCAGUCACACUGGAACUGAGACACGGUCCAGACUCCUACGGGAGGCAGCAGUGGGGAAUAUUGGACAAUGUGCGAAGGCCUGAUCCAGCCGUGCCGAGUGUGUGAAAAAGG
rnacentral:rRNA from 1 species